UACAGAGGGUGCGAGCGUUGUCCGGAAUCACUGGGCGUAAAGGGCGCGUAGGUGGUGGCUUAAGCGUGCGGUGAAAGCUCGGGGCUCAACUCCGAGUCGGCCAUGCGAACUGGGCUCACUGGAGCAUAGUAGAGGCAGGUGGAAUUCCGGGUGUAGCGGUGGAAUGCGUAGAGAUCCGGAAGAACACCGGUGGCGAAGGCGGCCUGCUGGGCUAUGGCUGACACUGAGGCGCGACAGCGUGGGGAGCAAACAGG
rnacentral:rRNA from 1 species